rnacentral:rRNA from 1 species
GACAGAGGCCUCAAGCGUUAGGCGGAAUCACUGGGCUUAAAGCGUGUGUAGGCGGAUCGUUAAGUGCCUUGUGAAAUCCCACGGCUUAACUGUGGAACGGCUGGGCAUACUGGCGGUCUUGAGCCAUCUAGGGGCGACUGGAACAAACGGUGGAGCGGUGAAAUGCGUAGAUAUCAGGAGGAACACCGGUGGCGAAGGCGGUUCUCUGGGCAUUACCUGACGCUGAGGAGCGAAAGUGUGGGGAGCGAACAGG